GAGGACACAGGGCUCCAGGGAGGUGGAGGGGCUUGCCUGAGAUCAUAAUGCAAGUUAUUAAUGUUAAGAACAUGAACUCUGAAAUCUGAUGCUGGUGUUUGAAUCCUGGCUCAGUUCCUUUCUGGCCGUGUGAUCCUGGUCGCUUCAGUCGUGUCCGACUCUGUGAGACCCCUUAGACGGCAGCCCACCAGGCCCCGGCGUCCCUGGGAUUCUCCAGGCAAGAACACGAGUGGGUUGCCACUUCCUCCUCCAAUGCAUGAAAGUAAAAAGUGAAAGUGAAGUCGCUCAUUCGUGUCCGACUCUUAGCGACCCCAUGGACUGCAGCCUACCAGGCUCCUCUGUCCAUGGGAUUUUCCAGGCAAGAGUACUGGAGUGGGGUGCCAUUGCCUUCUCCCAACAUGAAGAAUAAUUAAGGUAAUUGGGAGAUAAAAGGAACUGCCUAAUUUGGA
ensembl:lncRNA